UCAAGGUAUUGUUUUAGAAAAAGUGGGUGUUGAAGCUAAACAGCCAAACUCUGCUAUUAGAAAAUGUGUGCGAGUCCAGUUGAUCAAAAAUGGAAAGAAAAUCACAGCUUUUGUGCCAAAUGAUGGUUGUCUAAACUACAUUGAGG
rnacentral:lncRNA from 1 species